GACGGAGGGGGCAAGCGUUGUCCGGACUCACUGGGCGUAAAGCGCACGUAGGUGGCGCGGUGCGUCGGUACUGAAAGCGCCCGGCUUAACCGGGCGAGGCGUGCCGAUACGACCGGGCUUGAGGCAGGCAGAGGGUGGCGGAAUUCCGGGUGUAGUGGUGAAAUGCGUAGAGAUCCGGAGGAACGCCUGUGGCGCAAGCGGCCACCUGGGCCUGACCUGACACUGAGGUGCGAAAGCGUGGGGAG
rnacentral:rRNA from 1 species